GAUUUGUACACGCAGCCUUACGAGACUAUUUACAGCUCUUCGAGUCACGGUGUUAUUCAUGAGGCCUCACCUGUAUGCUUUGGUUGAUGGUCUUGCUGGGGGAUUGUGGGUGAGACAAUGCACAUGGCCCAAUAGAACAAAUGGGACACAUACAGAGAUAAGGUGAAGAGAAUAUCCAUGUAGUCCUUCUUACCACAAGAGAAGUUCCCAUCAUCCUUCAUGGCUUCAAGAUUCCCUGACAUCUCUGCAGGGUCUCUCUGUCCUUCUGGGACCACCGGAGAGGACGACUGGGCCUCUCUCUGUCUUUCAAACAUCUCUGUUUGAGGAGUUAUCUUAGUGAAAAUCUUACUUAUUACAAUAAUACACAGUAUCUUCCUUGUAUUUCAUAGAAUAUAUGUUAAUUAAAUCAUAGGUAUACUACUACUACUACUACUACUACUACUACUAAUAAUAAUAAUAAUAA